AAAUUGAAGAGUUUGAUCAUGGCUCAGAUUGAACGCUGGCGGCAGGCCUAACACAUGCAAGUCGAACGGUAACAGGAAGCAGCUUGCUGCUUCGCUGACGAGUGGCGGACGGGUGAGUAAUGUCUGGGAAACUGCCUGAUGGAGGGGGAUAACUACUGGAAACGGUGGCUAAUACCGCAUAACGUCGCAAGACCAAAGAGGGGGACCUUCGGGCCUCUUGCCAUCAGGAUGGAGGGGGAUAACUACUGGAAACGGUGGCUAAUACCGCAUAACGUCGCAAGACCAAAGAGGGGGACCUUCGGGCCUCUUGCCAUCAGAUGUGCCCAGAUGGGAUUAGCUUGUUGGUGAGGUAACGGCUCACCAAGGCGACGAUCCCUAGCUGGUCUGAGAGGAUGACCAGCCACACUGGAACUGAGACACGGUCCAGACUCCUACGGGAGGCAGCAGUGGGGAAUAUUGCACAAUGGGCGCAAGCCUGAUGCAGCCAUGCCGCGUGUAUGAAGAAGGCCUUCGGGUUGUAAAGUACUUUCAGCGGGGAGGAAGGUGUUGUGGUUAAUAACCGCAGCAAUUGACGUUACCCGCAGAAGAAGCACCGGCUAACUCCGUGCCAGCAGCCGCGGUAAUACGGAGGGUGCAAGCGUUAAUCGGAAUUACUGGGCGUAAAGCGCACGCAGGCGGUCUGUCAAGUCGGAUGUGAAAUCCCCGGGCUCAACCUGGGAACUGCAUUCGAAACUGGCAGGCUUGAGUCUUGUAGAGGGGGGUAGAAUUCCAGGUGUAGCGGUGAAAUGCGUAGAGAUCUGGAGGAAUACCGGUGGCGAAGGCGGCCCCCUGGACAAAGACUGACGCUCAGGUGCGAAAGCGUGGGGAGCAAACAGGAUUAGAUACCCUGGUAGUCCACGCCGUAAACGAUGUCUACUUGGAGGUUGUGCCCUUGAGGCGUGGCUUCCGGAGCUAACGCGUUAAGUAGACCGCCUGGGGAGUACGGCCGCAAGGUUAAAACUCAAAUGAAUUGACGGGGGCCCGCACAAGCGGUGGAGCAUGUGGUUUAAUUCGAUGCAACGCGAAGAACCUUACCUGGUCUUGACAUCCACAGAAGAAUCCAGAGAUGGAUUUGUGCCUUCGGGAACUGUGAGACAGGUGCUGCAUGGCUGUCGUCAGCUCGUGUUGUGAAAUGUUGGGUUAAGUCCCGCAACGAGCGCAACCCUUAUCCUUUGUUGCCAGCGAUUAGGUCGGGAACUCAAAGGAGACUGCCAGUGAUAAACUGGAGGAAGGUGGGGAUGACGUCAAGUCAUCAUGGCCCUUACGACCAGGGCUACACACGUGCUACAAUGGCGCAUACAAAGAGAAGCGACCUCGCGAGAGCAAGCGGACCUCAUAAAGUGCGUCGUAGUCCGGAUUGGAGUCUGCAACUCGACUCCAUGAAGUCGGAAUCGCUAGUAAUCGUGGAUCAGAAUGCCACGGUGAAUACGUUCCCGGGCCUUGUACACACCGCCCGUCACACCAUGGGAGUGGGUUGCAAAAGAAGUAGGUAGCUUAACCUUCGGGAGGGCGCUUACCACUUUGUGAUUCAUGACUGGGGUGAAGUCGUAACAAGGUAACCGUAGGGGAACCUGCGGUUGGAUCACCUCCUUACCUUAAAGAA
rnacentral:rRNA from 1 species